rnacentral:misc_RNA from 1 species
AAGACAUUUUCUGAUUAAUUUUUGGUAGGUAAAAGGCAAAACUGCAGAAAAUUUCUGGGGAUUAAUAGGGUUGCUAGAAUGUGCGCAUUUACACCUUCAAAUUCGAAGAAGAAAACAGUAUGGAUAUGGACGGAGAACAAGCAAGUAAUGACAGCUGCUGUUGAGGGAGGCUGGAAUACUUUCAUCUUCCCUUCCAAUCGACAAGAUCUUGCCCUUGAAUGGUCUUCAAUUGCAGUGAUACAUCCUGUCUUUAUUAAAGAGGGGAGACUAAUUGAUCAUGAGCAUAAGAGCGUCGCUGCAUUUGCUGAGAUUUCUUCUCCUCAACAGUUAGAACAGUUUCAGAUAUCGGAGGAACAGUCAGAUAAAGUAGUUGUUAAUCUACUAGAUUGGCAGGUGAUACCUGCUGAAAACAUUGUUGCGGCUUUUCAAGGCACUCAGACAACUGUACUUGCUGUCUCAAAGAACCAAUCAGAAGCUCAAGCCUUUCUUGAGGCCUUGGAACACGGUUUGGGUGGUGUAGUAAUGAAGGUUGAGGAUGUUGGCGCAAUCCUUGAGCUGAAGGGUUAUUUUGAUAGAAGACGUGAAGUGGACAGUCUGUUGAACUUGACGAAAGCCAUAAUAACUCAUAUUCAAGUGACUGGAAUGGGUGACCGUGUCUGUGUAGAUAUCUGCAGCCUCAUGAGACCUGGUGAAGGUCUUCUGGUUGGAUCCUUUGCAAGAGGGCUUUUCCUUGUUCACUCAGAGUGCUUGGAGUCAAAUUACAUCUCUAGCAGGCCUUUUCGAGUUAAUGCGGGGCCUGUCCAUGCAUAUGUUGCUGUUCCUGGAGGAAAGACUAGCUAUCUCUCGGAACUCAAGUCCGGGAAAGAGGUCAUUGUGGUUGAUCAAAGAGGUAUGCAGCGAACAGCAAUUGUUGGUCGUGUAAAGGUAGAGACUAGACCACUGAUCCUUGUGGAGGCAAAGGUAGAAUCAGAAAAUGAAAGCUAUUCCAUUCUCUUGCAGAAUGCUGAAACAGUUGGAUUAGUCUCUCCCCUUCAUGGUAAAUAAGUCCAAGAAUCUUUCUCUUUUCCUCUUUCUGUGGUUCAACAUCCCCGUCUUUCUGCAGGUGAGGGACAUCAGCGUACAACCAUUCCUGUGACCUCACUAGAAGUUGGUUCUGAGGUAUUGCUUCUACUACAGGGAGGCGCUCGACAUACUGGAAUAGAAAUUAAAGAGUUUAUUGUUGAGAAAUAAGUUAUUUUCCGCACAUUCACAUUCGUUGAUAAAUGAGUGGCCUGAACCUCUUAAUGAUGAUACAAAUGUAUCAUUUACUAAAUUCUUUAUUUUUGUACCAAAAUGUUGUCAAAUAAAACAAUAUGGCUG